GGUUAAGCGACUAAGCGUACACGGUGGAUGCCCUGGCAGUCAGAGGCGAUGAAGGACGUGCUAAUCUGCGAUAAGCGCCGGUAAGGUGAUAUGAACCGUUAUAACCGGCGAUUUCCGAAUGGGGAAACCCAGUGUGAUUCGUCACACUAUCAUUAACUGAAUCCAUAGGUUAAUGAGGCGAACCGGGGGAACUGAAACAUCUAAGUACCCCGAGGAAAAGAAAUCAACCGAGAUUCCCCCAGUAGCGGCGAGCGAACGGGGAGGAGCCCAGAGCCUGAAUCAGCAUGUGUGUUAGUGGAAGCGUCUGGAAAGGCGCGCGAUACAGGGUGACAGCCCCGUACACAAAAGCGCAUGUGCUGUGAGCUCGAUGAGUAGGGCGGGACACGUGGUAUCCUGUCUGAAUAUGGGGGGACCAUCCUCCAAGGCUAAAUACUCCUGACUGACCGAUAGUGAACCAGUACCGUGAGGGAAAGGCGAAAAGAACCCCGGCGAGGGGAGUGAAAAAGAACCUGAAACCGUGU
rnacentral:rRNA from 1 species